rnacentral:rRNA from 1 species
UAAUAAGCGGAGGAAAAGAAACUAACAAGGAUAGACUCAGUAAGGGCGACUGAAGCGUCUAUAGCUCACCAUGUGAAUUUGCACUGCAUGGUGCUGAAUUGUGGUCUGGAGACUUUUGCAUCACAAGGCCAGGCCAAGUCCCUUGGAACGGGGCAGCUCAGAGGGUGACACUCCCAUGUGCCUGGCUUUGAGAGCAAUUGUCAAAGAGUCGAGUUGUUUGGGAUUGCAGCUCCAAGCAGGUGGUAAAUUCCAUCGAAAGCUAAAUACUGGUGGAAGACCGAUAGCGAACAAGUACCGUGAGGGAAAGAUGCAAAGAACUUUGAAAAGAGAGUUAAAGAGUACCUGAAAUUGCUGAAAAGGAAGCGAAGGAAACUAGUGUCAGUUGCGCCACACUUCCCUGCUCGCUUGCGGUUGGGGCGCUGUGGCCAGCGUAGUCCUGUUGGAUGGGCUUGGGCCAAUGAACAGUGAAGAAAGUUGUCCUUUGUUGUGUAGUGCCCGAGCCUUUUUGAUUGGACAAAAUAGUUUUCUUUUYCCCGUCUAGAAACACGGACCAAGGAGUCUAACAUAUGUGCGAGUACAGGGGUGCAAAUCCCCCGUGCGCAAUGAAAGUGACAGUGGCUGGAACUUUGGUGCACAGUCCACCGGCUUCAAUCCCUUGGGAGAACGGUCUGAGUGUGAGCAUACAUGUUGGGACCCGAAAGAUGGUGAACUAUGCUUGAGUAGGGUGAAGCCAGGGGAAACUCUGGUGGAGGCUCGUAGCGAUUCUGACGUGCAAAUCGAUCGUCAAACUUGAGUAUAGGGGCGAAAGACUAAUCGAACUAUCUAGUAGCUGGUUCCCUCCGAAAUUUCCCUUAGGAUAGCUGCGAUCGAAUAACAAUUUUGUC